UUGUCCUACGGGGGGCAGCAGUGGGGAAUAUUGGUCAAUGGGCUUACGCCUGAACCAGCCAAGUCGCGUGAGGGAAGACUGCCCUAUGGGUUGUAAACCUCUUUUGUCAGGGAGCAACGCCGGCUACGUGUAGCCGGACUGAGAGUACCUGAAGAAAAAGCAUCGGCUAACUCCGUGCCAGCAGCCGCGGUAAUACGGAGGAUACGAGCGUUAUCCGGAUUUAUUGGGUUUAAAGGGUGCGUAGGCGGUUUUUUAAGUUAGUGGUUAAACGUCGGGGCUUCACCUUGAUUUGCCCUUAAUACUGU
rnacentral:rRNA from 1 species